AGCAGCAUGGCGCAGUGGUAGCGUGCGGGGCCCAUAACCCCGAGGUCACUUGAUCGAAACAAGUUGCUGCUA
rnacentral:tRNA from 2 species